GGCGAACGCUGGCGGCGUGCCUAACACAUGCAAGUCGUGCGACGGCUCGCCCCAAAAGGGCGGGUACGGAGCGGCAGACGGGUGAGUAACACGUAGCUAACCUGCCCGUCCGCCGGGGAUAACCCUCCGAAAGGGGGGCUAAUACCCGAUGGUCUUCCGGGGCGCAAGCCUACGGAAGUAAAGGCGCUACGGCGCCGCGGGCGGAGGGGGCUGCGGCCCAUCAGGUAGUUGGUGGGGUAAUGGCCCACCAAGCCGAUGACGGGUAGGGGGCCUGAGAGGGUGGCCCCCCACACGGGGACUGGGACACGGCCCCGACUCCUACGGGAGGCAGCAGUGGGGAAUCUUGGGCAAUGCCCGCAAGGGUGACCCAGCGACGCCGCGUGCGGGAAGAAGCCCUUCGGGGUGUAAACCGCUUUUCUGGGGGAAGAAUAAGGCGGGGAGGGAAUGCCCCGCCGAUGACGGUACCCCAGGAAUAAGGGACGGCUAACUACGUGCCAGCAGCCGCGGUAAGACGUAGGUCCCGAGCGUUGCCCGGAUUUACUGGGCGUAAAGUGCGCGUAGGCGGUUCGGCAAGUCGUCCGUGAAAGCCCGGGGCUCAACCCCGGGAGGCCGGGCGAGACUGCCGGGCUAGAGGACGGCAGAGGAGGGUGGAGCGGCCGGAGUAGCGGUGAAAUGCGUAGAUACCGGCCGAAAUCCCGAUGGCGAAGGCAACCCUCUGGGCCGUUCCUGACGCUGAGGCGCGAAAGCGUGGGGAGCGAACCGGAUUAGAUACCCGGGUAGUCCACGCCCUAAACGAUGCGGGCUAGGUGUCGGGGGGUAUUCCCUCGGUGCCGCAGCUAACGCGUUAAGCCCGCCGCCUGGGCAGUACGGCCGCAAGGCUGAAACUCAAGGGAAUUGACGGGGUCCCACACAAGCGGUGGAGCAUGUGGUUUAAUUCGAUGCUAAACGAAGAACCUUACCCGGGCUUGACAUGCAGGUGGUACCGACCCGAAAGGGAAGGGACCCCGGGCCGAAAGGCGCCGGGGAGCCUGCACAGGUGCUGCAUGGCUGUCGUCAGCUCGUGCCGUGGGGUGUUGGGUUAAGUCCCGGAACGAGCGCAACCCCUGCCGCCAGUUGCCAGCGGGCCCAAAUGGGCGCCGGGGACUCUGGCGGGACUGCCGGCGAAUAGCCGGAGGAAGGAGGGGAUGACGUCAAGUCCUCAUGGCCCUUAUGCCCGGGGCUACACACAUGCUACAGUGCCCGGUACAAUGGGACGCGAAGGGGCGACCCGGAGCAAAUCCCAUCAAAGCCGGGCAUGGUGCGGAUUGCAGGCUGCAACCCGCCUGCAUGAAGAGGGAAUCGCUAGUAAUCGCGGGUCAGCUACACCGCGGUGAAUACGUACUUGGGGCUUGUACACACCGCCCGUCACGCCAACCGAGUGGGAGGCACCUGAAGUCGUCCGAAGAGGGCGCCGAGGGUGUCUUCCAUGAGAGGGGCG
rnacentral:rRNA from 1 species